rnacentral:rRNA from 1 species
UACGGAGGGUGCAAGCAUUAAUCGGAUUUAUUGGGCGUAAAGGGCGCGUAGGCUGGGAUGUAAGUCAGAUGUGAAAUCCCUGGGCUCAACCCAGGAACUGCAUUUGAAACUACAUUUCUAGAGGGUAGGCGGAGAAAAUGGAAUUCCACAUGUAGCGGUGAAAUGCGUAGAUAUGUGGAGGAACACCAGUGGCGAAGGCGGUUUUCUAGCUUACUCCUGACGCUGAGGCGCGAAAGCAAGGGGAUCAAACAGG